UUUUAAAAUUUUUAUCCAUUUUUACUAUUGAAAACUGGUGUGGCUGAUAAAAUAACUUGACGGUGACACAUGGUGUGUCACAUGUGCCUCAUACUAAUGUAAUGAGACUAGUUUUUAACGGUAGAAAUUAAUGAAAAUUUUAACA
rfam:Gossypium raimondii Chr10_contig_1028, whole genome shotgun sequence.